UUUACAUAUGGGAAUAAAAUAAGUUUAAGCAAUGAUAUAAACAAUGGUACUUAACGUUCCCCUGCUCACGUAGAGUAAUAUUCAAUAACAGGAUGUAAUUCACUUACGAUUAUACGAUGGAAAAAUAAUUGGCCCACUUAUCCUAUAAAAACAACUUCAGUAUGCGAUUGUGAUUUAAUAGUGAUACAUAAAAUACGACGAGCCGAAAUCUUCUUGAAAAACGCGUUUAUGAGAUAUAUUAUAAAAUAAGGAAACCGGUUCAUACUGCAUUAAAAGAAAAAGGAAAAUGACUAAGGGCACAUUACUUAUAUUAUUAUUGGUGCUUAGUGAAGUUAUCAAUGUAAGAUCUCAAGCAUGUGUACGGGUUGGUUAUCGCUGUUACGAUGUCGGCGGUAGCUGUUCUAAGAGGUGGACUAAUCGCAGAUGUUUUCGGAUUGGUUCCCGAUGCCGGUGUAGAACUGCUUUUGUUAUCGGAUCACCGCUGCAGAAUAACAACGAAUUGCAAACUAGCUUACCUAACAAUUAAAAUGCUAUCUUGCUCUUAAAACUGGAUAUUUAAACGAUAUAUAAUUGAUCUUAUACAGUGUGUAGUGUAAAGAAGCUUACAAGAUGCAAUAAACAAAAUACAUCUAACAGAAUCAGUCGAAGAUACGAUGGUUACACUUCUAAAAUGAAGAACCACAAUCAAAGUGAACAUUCUUUGUUAUUGUUCGAUAGAUAUAGAUGCAUUGAAUGUUAGAUGUAAAAAAUGUUAUUCCAUUUAAGAUUAAAAUAAUAAAAAAAAACUUGACUUCCAUGAAGUGAGUUAUUUAAAUAUAACAACAGUACAAAGCAACUUUGUCCUUUAUUAUUAUAUAUGCGGAGUAAUAUGCUAAAUUUGUCUGGAAGUGCAAUGCGUUAAAGCGGCCUUCAGCUUUUCUAAAUGUUGACUAUGUAAUUUAAGAUAAUUUAUAAAAUCGUUUCAUAUAUUUGUCAGAUCGAAAGAAUUAACGUUGAAAAUGAAAUUUAACGUCCAUAAAAUACAUAAAUGAUAAGGAAACCCCUCGAUACCUCUUAUCUUCCAGUCCGCUCUCAAUAUGAAAAUGAGUCAAGUGGACGUUUUCCCCAUCUUAAAACAAACGCUACUGCGCGCUAUUAAUAUCUCUCGGGACGCUGUUUUGAAGAAAGCUUAACAGUGAUAUGACGUACUUAUCCUCGAAAAAAAAAAUACGGAAAUAACUUAAUUGCAACACCACAAAUAGUUUUAAAACAAAAUAUUAAAGCUGAAGGCCGCUUUAAAACUACCGUUUAUAAAGCAGUUAUGUUACAUAUUCAUACUGUUUUGUUUUAACGUUUGUAAGCAUCGUUCUUUAAGGCACUGCAAAACAUAUAGAAAAAUAAAAACUGUAAAAUUUA